AGUGAACGCUGGCGGUAUGCCUAACACAUGCAAGUCGAACGGCAGCACAGUAAGAGCUUGCUCUUACGGGUGGCGAGUGGCGGACGGGUGCGGUAUACAUCGGAAUCUACUUUUUCGUGGGGGAUAACGUAGGGAAACUUACGCGAAUACCGCAUACGACCUACUGGUGAAAGCAGGGGAUCUUCGAACCUUGCGCUAUUGAAUGAGCCGAUGUCGGCUUAGCUCGUUGGCGGGGUAAAGGCCCACCAAGGCGACGAUCCGUAGCUGGUCUGAGAGGAUGAGCAGCCAAACUGGACCGGAGACACGGUCCAGACUCCUACGAGAGGCAGAAGUGGGGAACAUUGGACAAUGGGAGCAAGCCUGAUUCAGCCACACCGCGUGGGUGAAGAAGGCCUUCGGGUUGUAAAGCCCUUUUGUUGGGAAAGAAAAGCAGCAGGUUAAUACCCCGCUGUUCUGACGGUACCCAAAGAAUAAGCACCGGCUAACUUCGUGC
rnacentral:rRNA from 1 species